UACGAAGGGGGGCUAGCGUUGCUCGGAUUUACUGGGCGUAAAGGGCGCGUAGGCGGACAGUUAAGUCGGGGGUGAAAGCCCGGGGCUCAACCUCGGAAUUGCCUUCGAUACUGGCUGUCUUGAGUGUGAGAGAGGUGUGUGGAACUCCGAGUGUAGAGGUGAAAUUCGUAGAUAUUCGGAAGAACACCAGUGGCGAAGGCGACACACUGGCUCACUACUGACGCUGGAGGCGCGAAGGCCUAGGGGAGCGAACGGG
rnacentral:rRNA from 1 species